UAAUUCUCUAGUGCGCACGGGUGAGUAACACGUGAGUAACCUGCCCCCGAGAGCGGGAUAGCCCUGGGAAACUGGGAUUAAUACCGCAUAGUAUCGAAAGAUUAAAGCAGCAAUGCGCUUGGGGAUGGGCUCGCGGCCUAUUAGUUAGUUGGUGAGGUAACGGCUCACCAAGGCGAUGACGGGUAGCCGGUCUGAGAGGAUGUCCGGCCACACUGGAACUGAGACACGGUCCAGACACCUACGGGAGGCAGCAG
rnacentral:rRNA from 1 species